GUUGUUGGACUUAAGGGGCCUCCGACCAUAUGACUUGGGAUCCCACUGAAUUUUCAUCAACUUUCCCACCAAAACGUACGAGUAUAUUAAAUGCAAAUAGAGUGAUUUCUUCAGUCACGGGUUCUGGCACAAUGACUUUAUCACCUAAUCUAAAACUAUUGUCACAUCUUUAUCUCACAAAUUAUUAUCUGUUAGUCAACUGACCACGAAGAUGAAUUGUGUUGUACUUAUCUAUUCUACAUUUUGUCUGAUACAAGACAUUCUCGUGAAGGAGAUCAUUAGGUGUGGUACUAGGAAGGGAGACUUAUACUACACAGACGAUUUCAGUAUUGGCCAUGCACAUCACACUACUCAUCCUACUAACAACAAAAAGACAGACAAAUUUGACUGUGGCAUCGUCAUCUAAGACAUCCAUCCAUUACAUAUAUGAAACAUUUGUUUCCUGAUCUGUUUUUACAUUUGUAGACAAAAGAUUUAAAGUGUAAUACCUGCAUCUUAGCCAAAAGUCAUCAAACGUCGUUUCCAGUAAGCGAGAAUAAAUGUACCAUUCCUUUUGCUUUAUUUUAUUCCGAUGUCUGGUAGGGAUGGCAACGGGGCGAGGUGCCCCUACCCCAUCCCGCCUUACCCCAUCUCGCCCAAACCCCACCUUAUCCCUCACCCCGCCCCACCUUAGACGGUGCAGGGCGGGGACGGGGCAACUUUUUGCCCCGUUUGUUGCCUCAUUUUAUUUAUUUACAUUUCAAAGUUUCAAGUUAUGUUAUUAUUAGAAAAUAUAAAUUCAAAAUGAGUUUUUAACAGGUGAAUUGCCUAGAAAUAAAAUUAUUUUUAAUCGUUCGGGGCCUCGUCGGGGCGAGGUUGGUUUUUUUGCCAUUAAUGUCUAGGGUGCGUACUAUUCUUGGCAUGCGAUGGUUUGUUAUAUUUGUGGAUGUUUGCACGCGAAUGACAUGGCUUUAUUUAUUGUGACAUAAGGAUGAAAUGCUAAGUAUGUUCCAAACUUAAUUCUCAAGAAAGAUUCAAACUCUUUGUUCUGACAAUGGUGGAGAACAUGUCAAUCAAUGGUUUCAGGUGUACUUUCAGCAACAUGGUCCACUCUAUGAAACCUUAUGCCCACAAACCUCACAGCAAGGAAUUGCUGAGUGAAAGAAUAGACAUAUCUUUGAAAUGGCACGAACACUCUUACUUGAAGCUCAUGUGCCCUACCAACACUGGGGCGAUGCAGUUGCUACAGCCGUAUACUUACUCAAUCGUAUGCCAUCACGAGUCUUGAAUUUCAAAACUCCACUCCAGGCUCUAUCGGCCUUCGUCAUCCUACCCACCAUGCUAAAGAUUCUUCCCAAGGUCUUUGGCUGCGUGGCCUAUGUCCAUCUUCACAAGAACCAACGUACAAAGUUUGACCCAUCUGCUGUUCAAUGCCUUUUCUUGGCAUAUAGACUCUAUUAGAAAGGCUACUGAUGUUAUGAUCCUACCACCAAAUGAAGCUAUGUGACCAUGGAUGUCACAUUUCUAGAAUCUGAUACAUUUUACUCCAAUAUCCAAUUUCUCCUUUCAGGGAGAGAUUCAAGGAGAAGAGCCGAAUUGGUUACGACUAGAUUAGGCGGACACUUGAGAAGGAGAAGUCCCAAUCAAUGAAGAGUAAAAAACUUCCUCAAAAGAAGAGACAAGGAAAGAACCUCUGACAUCUGAGACUAAAAUUGAAGUCUCUCACCCCUCGGUAGUAGACCCACGUCCUGAGAAUACUCCUGAGGUAAGCAUCCCUACCACUAUACCAUCUAAUACUAUGGAUACUUCUAUUGGGUAUACCUUACCUUUUAGGCACAAUCGGGAUAAGCCAUUGAAUAGAUAUUCACCAGAUAUUGAGGAAAGGAGGAUGAGAUAUCCAUUUACUGAAAAGCUACCCGAACUUCUCAAGAAAUUUGCAGACACACUAUCUACGUGCCACAGUUCUACCAAUGUUCAGGAGGCCUUAACGGAUCCAAAGUGGACUCAGGCUAUACAAGAAGAAAUGGAAGCAUUAGUGAAUAAUAAAACCUAGAAUCGGGUACCAUUACCUAAAGGAAAGAAGACAGUAGGGUAUAAAUGGGUGUUUUCCAUCAAACAUAAGGCAGAUGGAUCUGUAGAAUAAUACAAGGCGAGAUUAGUAGGAAAAGGCUAUACACAAACACAUGGAGUGGAUUAUCAAGAAACCUUCUUUCCAGUGGCCAAGUUAAAUACUGUUAGAGUUUUGUUAUCUCUUGCAACAAAACCUUGAUUGGCCCUUGCGCCAAUUUGAUGUAAAGAGUGCCCUUCUCCAUGGCAAUCUAGAGGAGAAAAGUUUAUAUAGAUAUCCCAUCAGACUAUACAGCAUCUCUAGAGACGGAGGUGGUAUGCAAACUCGAGUGAGCGAGCAUUGUACGGACUAAAGAAGUCGCCUCAAGCUUGGUUUGGAUGCUUCGAGGUAGUAAUGAAAAAUAUGGCUUCCAAUAGAGCAACUCCAACCAUACGUUGUUCCUAAAACAUUGACAAAGCAAAAUAACCGCUCUAAUAGUCCAUAUGGAUGAUAUGACCAUCACAGGGAAUGACAAGAAGAAAUGUCUCGACUUCAGAAGCAAAUUGGCAACUGACUUUGAAAUGAAGAAUCUAGGAGGACUGAAGUAUUUUUUGGGAAUAGAAGUUACAAGAUCAGGACAAGGAAUAUUUUUGUGUAACGAAAAUAUAUUCUAGACCUACUAUCAGAAGUAGGAUUAUUGGAGUGCAAGCCUCAGACAUUCCAAUUGCUCAAAAUCACAGGCUUAGAGAGUAUUUAAACCAAACACUAGCAGACAAAGGGAGAUACCAAAGACUAGUGGAUAAACUUAUCUAUUUGUCUCAUACAUGCAUUGUCCAAGUGAGGAUCAUAUGGAUGCAAUAAUUCGAAUAAUCCGAUAUUUGAAAUCAUUUCUAGGGAAGGGUCUCAUGUUUUUGAAGAAUGACCACCUAAGAGUUGAGGGCUAUACGGAUGCAGAUUGGGUAGGGAAUAUAAAGGAUCAAAAGUCCACCUCAGGCUACUUCACCUUCAUUGGAAACCUAGUUAUGUGGAAAAGUAAGAAACAAAAAGUGGUUGCAUUGUCAAGUGCAAAAGCUGAAUUUCGAGGGAUAGCCAAAGGACUUUGUGAAUUCCUUUGGCUCAAGAAGCUACUAACUAAGAUUGAUUUUGGACCUACAUCUGAGAUGGAUCUUUUAUGCAACAAUAAAGCAGCUAUUGAUAUCUCUCAAAAUCCCAUCCAACAUGAUCGUACAAAACAUGUGAAGGUAGAUCGACAUUUAGUCAAACAAAAUCUUGAAGGAAAAAUCAUCAGAUUCCCAUUUGUUAAGUCAGGAGAUCAAUUGGCAGACAUACUUACAAAAGUAGUUUCGAGCAAAGAUUUCUACAACUUACUAGACAAGCUACGUAUUCGAGAUCCGUAUGCAUUAGAUUGAGGGAGAGUGUUGGCGUAAGCUGUGCUAAAAUCAUACCAAAAUCUGCAUUGAGAGAUUUUAGCAUCAACUUUAGAAAUCUUUCUCUAUAUACACGGAUCCCCCUUUAUGCUGGCCAUAGAAUAUGUAUGGACCAUAUUUAUACUUAAUCUUUUCCCAUUUAUAGAGAGUACUGUUGUAAAUUUUUAAAUACAGAAAUGAAGAAAAAAGAAAUAAUUCAGCCAUUACAUUAAACUGCCAAUAUGAAAC
rnacentral:lncRNA from 1 species